rnacentral:rRNA from 1 species
UACAGAGGGUGCGAGCGUUAAUCGGAAUUACUGGGCGUAAAGCGCGCGUAGGCGGCUUUGCAAGCCGGAUGUGAAAUCCCCGGGCCUAACCUGGGAACUGCAUUCGGGACUGCAUUGCUAGAGUAUGGGAGAGGGAAGUGGAAUUUCAGGUGUAGCGGUGAAAUGCGUAGAUAUCUGAAGGAACAUCAGUGGCGAAAGCGACUUCCUGGACCAAUACUGACGCUCAUGUGCGAAAGCGUGGGGAGCAAACAGG